UAAGGGCGCACGGUGGAUGCCUUGGCACUAGGAGCCGAUGAAGGACGGGACUAACACCGAUAUGCUUUGGGGAGCUGUACGUAAGCUAUGAUCCAGAGAUUUCCGAAUGGGGGAACCCAACAUCUUUAAUAGGAUGUUACGAUUGUGUGAAUACAUAGCACAUUCGAGGUAGACGCAGAGAACUGAAACAUCUAAGUACCUGCAGGAAGAGAAAGAAAAUUCGAUUCCCUGAGUAGCGGCGAGCGAAACGGGAAAAGCCCAAACCAGCAAGCUUGCUUGUUGGGGUUGUAGGACUCCAAUAUGGUAGUUCUUUCAGAUAGUCGAAUGACUUGGAAAAGUCAGUCAAAGAGGGUAAAAACCCCGUAGACGAAAUGUGGAAGACACCUAGGAGGAUCCUGAGUACGGCGGAACACGAGAAAUUCCGUCGGAAUCCGGGAGGACCAUCUCCCAAGGCUAAAUACUCCCUAGUGACCGAUAGUGAACCAGUACCGUGAGGGAAAGGUGAAAAGCACCCCGGAAGGGGAGUGAAAUAGAACCUGAAACCGUGUGCCUACAACAAGUCAAAGCCCGUUAAUGGGUGAUGGCGUGCCUUUUGUAGAAUGAACCGGCGAGUUACGAUUGCAUGCGAGGUUAAGUUGAAGAGACGGAGCCGCAGCGAAAGCGAGUCUGAAUAGGGCGUUUGAGUAUGUAGUCGUAGACCCGAAACCAUGUGAUCUACCCAUGUCCAGGUUGAAGGUGCGGUAAAACGCACUGGAGGACCGAACCCACGUACGUUGAAAAGUGCGGGGAUGAGGUGUGGGUAGCGGAGAAAUUCCAAACGAACUUGGAGAUAGCUGGUUCUCUCCGAAAUAGCUUUAGGGCUAGCCUCGGAAUUGAGAAUGAUGGAGGUAGAGCACUGUUUGGACUAGGGGCCCAUCUCGGGUUACC
rnacentral:rRNA from 1 species